UGACAUUCGGCGUAGGCGCGUAGCCAACCCCCCCUAUAUAUAUAUAUAUAUAUAUAUAUAAAUAUCGUAGUGGCACGAAAGGAGCAGAUUAAUUAAUUAGAAAACAUCAAACCGUCUCUCCGGCGGCCAUGGUUCAUAAAGACGACAACCCUCUCGAGCUCUUCCGCAAGAUUAGUUUGGACGAACGAACUGUUAAGAACACCAUCGGAAAUAGCAGCAAGAUCACCUCCGAUCUAAUUGCCGUCAUCCACAAGGUCUCCUUCUUCCCUCUUCUAUCGCAUAGAACCCUAAAUUAUCUCGAGUCUCCGUUUUUCGCUAAAUCUGUUCCAGUUUCAAAUUUUGUUUUUUUUGUUUUUGGUUAUUUCUCCUUCCUGAUUCUUAUAGAUACAAUUCUUCUUUGACAUUGUUGUUUAAUAUUAUUAUUAUUAUUAUUA